UCUUUAACAAGCUCUGUGGUUACAGGGAAGCUGGUUUCACUCUGACUCACUCCUGCUCAAACAAUUUACUGGAAAUGAAGGGGAGGGGGAAUUUUCAGAGAAGUCAUGUGAUAGCCAGACAAACCACAGCCAGUAAAGGUUCAACAGAGUUAAAAACAGGUCCCAGCAACUACUGACACCCUGAUUUUUCAAAGUGGCAUUAAAUUAUAUGAAAAUAAGUUCUACUGGAUUUCAGACUAUCCACACUGAACUUUCAUAAAUAUUUGUAUGUAAAGAAACAGAUAAUUCACAGGGGUAAAUACCAGCAGAUACUGACAAGAUACAGGCAGCUGCACUUCAUAGGAAAAUGUACUUAACAGAGAAUAGAAGGGAUGUUAAAGCACUUUGAUGAGUAUAUAAGUAAUCAUUAUUAAUGCUUUUCCAUAGUCUCUAAACUCAAAUGAUCAAAUACAUGUUCUAUUAUUACCAGAGGAAGGUCAAAUGUAUCAUUUUUACCUUGUAGUUCGAGGGGGUGUUCUCUGGCUAAACUAUUUUACUACAAAGAGAGAGAGAGACAGAGAGAGAGAGAGACAGAGACACUAGACAGUGGCAGAUCCAGCUGAAUGCACACAUCGCCAUUUGAAAGGGCACAGGUUCAAGCUCCCAUUCCCAAAGUGCAGGGAGGAUGCUUCAAGAGAAGCAACUACAGAAACCAGAACUCCUACCUUCUGCACACCAAAAAGAAUUUUGGUGCAUACUCCCAGAGGGAUGAUACCAUGAUGCCAACUUGACCUCCUUGGGCAGAGGACCGUAUCAUGUGUCUGAGAGCCCUGUUUCCCCAGAUCCCUGUCUCCCUAGGGAAAGAGAGAGACAGGCUAGGAGUAUGGAUUGACCUGCCAACACCCAUGUUCAGCAGAGAAGCAAUUAUAGAAGCCAGACCUUCCACCUGCUGUACCCCACAAUGGUUCUGGGUCC